rnacentral:rRNA from 1 species
GACAGAGGGUGCAAACGUUGUUCGGAAUUACUGGGCGUAAAGCGCGUGUAGGCGGCUAUGCAAGUCGGAUGUGAAAGCCCUCGGCUCAACCGGGGAAGUGCACCCGAAACUGCAAAGCUAGAGUCUCGGAGAGGAUCGUGGAAUUCUCGGUGUAGAGGUGAAAUUCGUAGAUAUCGAGAAGGAACACCGGUGGCGAAGGCGGCGAUCUGGACGA